rnacentral:rRNA from 1 species
UAGGGAAUCUUCGGCAAUGGGGGCAACCCUGACCGAGCAACGCCGCGUGAGUGAAGAAGGUUUUCGGAUCGUAAAGCUCUGUUGUAAGUCAAGAACGGGUGUGAGAGUGGAAAGUUCACACUGUGACGGUAGCUUACCAGAAAGGGACGGCUAACUACGUGCCAGCAGCCGCGGUAAUACGUAGGUCCCGAGCGUUGUCCGGAUUUAUUGGGCGUAAAGCGAGCGCAGGCGGUUUGAUAAGUCUGAAGUUAAAGGCUGUGGCUCAACCAUAGUUCGCUUUGGAAACUGUCAAACUUGAGUGCAGAAGGGGAGAGUGGAAUUCCAUGUGUAGCGGUGAAAUGCGUAGAUAUAUGGAGGAACACCGGUGGCGAAAGCGGCUCUCUGGUCUGUAACUGACGCUGAGGCUCGAAAGCGUGGGGAGCGAACAGGAUUAGA